CAGCAAAACGCACAGUAACAAAACGCACAGCAACACGUCUGCAGAUUCAACAGCCUACCAUCUACCUACCAUCUACACUAUGCUCUUUAUAACUGAGACGGCCAGGCCGUGGUGGAAGACACCGGCUGUUCACACCAGAACAGGAGAACGCUAUUGUGAGCAUGGUGGUGGCAAACAAUACCAUUAGACUACGAGAAAUCCAGAACCACAUAAUUGCAGACAACACAAUAUCCAAUAACAUUCACCAGGUGGGCUUGUCUACAUUGGACCGUGUGUUACAGCACAACCGAAGCCGGAUGAAACAGGUCUACGGGGUGCCAUUUGAGUGAAACUGAGGUUUAAAGAACAGCACUAUGAAUAUGUAGUCUUGGAGCUGGAUGCCACUGCAAUUCAUCACGUUUAUAUUUACAUUGAGGCUGGCUUCAACCUAGCCAAAAGGACGGAACAUUAUUGGCCAUUGUGAAUGUCCCUGGACAGCGUGGAGGGAAUAUCACCAUGGUCACAGUCGUAAGCCAGCAAGGUGUCCUUAUCACCAUGCCAACAGCUACAACACAGCCCUUUUCAUCACAUUCCUGGACACACUACAUGGCAUCCUCAUUCCAGCCGAGUAGAGGGGUGGACCAGAGUAGCCCAGGUAUGUUAACAUCAGGGACACCGUGAGUUUCCACCGGGCUGCUCUGGUCCGCAACUGGUUCAUCGACCACCCACAAUUGAUUGUUCUAUACCUCCCACCAUAUUCCCCAUUCCUAAACCCAAUUGAAGAGUUUUUCAGCAUGGCGAUGGAAGGUGUAUGACCGCCAUCCCCUCGCACGCCUGCCUCUUCUCCAGGCAAUGGAGGAUGCAUGUGGGGGCUAUCGGUGGCUGGAUCCGUCACUCCAGAAGAUUCUUUCCCUGCUGUUUAGCCAGGGAGAACAUGGCUUGUGAUGUAGAUGGGGUACUGAGGCCAGACCAAAAUAGGAGGCAGGAUGCAGCCUAAUGUGUUUCUUUCUUACAUUGUGGUCUUUGUUUUGAAAGAAUGAGUUUCUUUUAUUUUUUUGUACAGAAAACCCUUUAUCUUACUGAAUGUUUGUCCUGUUGGGUACGGAAAGUGUUGCAUACAACUCACACGUGUUCAAAAAUACAGCAUUUUGGAAAUAAAUGACUUGUAUUUGUUACUGUAUUGCAUUUGUGUGUUUGUGUUUUUGAGUAGGUAGCCAUUACUGGAACAAUAUUUUACAACCAGCUACAAUAACACUGAAACUGCAAAAGUUAUAAACCUACUGAUGGGUUAUUCAGUGUUGAGCACAUCAGUCGGUUGGUAGACCGAUCUAGUCAUUUGACGUGUCAUUUUGAUGCAAAAAAAAAUUAUUUGGGAAAGAACAGUUGAAUGCAAAUUUUGCUAGAGAUUUGUAGAGUUGGGGUUUGGGAAAAUGGCCCAGAGAUUCAGCAAAUGUGUAUAAUCUAACACUUGAGAUGCUGUUUACCCUGGAUGUGUCUCAAUUCCAUCUACUUUCUCACGUGUGCACUUGUUCAUUUCCAUUUAUAGUUUUGCAAUGAAAUGACUGGUAUAUGGAAACUCCCUCUAGCCCAUGCUAACACCAAUCCAAUGCUUCUACAAUUGGGGGGGAGUAGCGAACGUGAGUUCACUUCAGGAGGAAGGAGAGAUUAUUGGGAUGUACCUUGUGCCACUAUUCAAUGUCUGCCUAUAGGUGGCAGUACAACGACUCUAGAAAGACCACUUUGCAACCCAAGCAGUCAGGGCCAAUAAUGACCAAGUUGCCAUUGGGCACAUAUCAAGAAUGAGCUUUCCAUCUUUGAAUAAUAACCUUAACAAGUGGAGGGGAAAACCUAAAACUAACUGUAGAUCAGUGUCUGGGAGCAGCUUAAUCCUAAAUGGCCUGAUUAAGUCCUAACACCCCCAGGUACAUCCUUUAAUCCCCAGGGCUGUAGUAGCUACAUAUGAGAAAACUGAAGUACAGACCUGUUUUUUUUUUUUUUUACUCAACUUGUGUAGAAUUGUAGAAAAUUAACUUUUAAAACAGCAAAAUGUCUCCAACCCCUUCACAAAAUGUGAAGAAUUGUAGGAA